GAUGAACGCUGGCGGCGUGCCUAAUACAUGCCAGUCGAGCGAACAGACGAGGAGCUUGCUCCUCUGACGUUAGCGGCGGACGGGUGAGUAACACGUGGAUAACCUACCUAUAAGACUGGGAUAACUUCGGGAAACCGGCGCUAAUACCGGAUAAUAUAUUGAACCGCAUGGUUCAAUAGUGAAAGACGGUUUUGCUGUCUCUUAUAGCUGCUUCCGCGCCGCAUUAGCUAGUUGGUAAGGUAACGGCUUACCAAGGCGACGAUGCGUAGCCGACCUGAGAGGGUGAUCGGCCACACUGGAACUGAGACACGGUCCAGACUCCUACGGGAGGCAGCAGUAGGGAAUCGUACGCAAUGGGCGAAAGCCUGACGGAGCAACGGCGCGUGAGUGAUGAAGGUGUUCGGAGCGGAAAACUCUGUUAUUAGGGAAGAACAAAUGUGGAAGUAACUAUGCACGUCUUGACGGUACUUAAUCAGAAAGCCACGGCUAACUACGUG
rnacentral:rRNA from 1 species